rnacentral:rRNA from 1 species
UACGUAGGUGGCAAGCGUUGUCCGGAUUUACUGGGCGUAAAGAGCGCGCAGGCGGUCGUUCAAGUCGCGUGUGAAAGCCCCCGGCUCAACUGGGGAGGGUCACGCGAUACUGAUCGACUGGAAGGCAGGAGAGGGUAGUGGAAUUCCCGGUGUAGUGGUGAAAUGCGUAGAUAUCGGGAGGAACACCAGUGGCGAAAGCGGCUCUCUGGUUCAAUACUGACACUGAGAUGCGAAAGCGUGGGGAGCGAACGGG